AAGUAUGUGGCGUUUUUGGGGGGGUAGAAGGAAUGGUAGAAUGAAUGGAUGUUCGGAAGUAACAAGAAUUGAUAACAAAAUAAAACUCGCAAGACUUUUCACUUCUUCUUUUUUUUUUAUACUUCGAUUUUUUUUCACUUCAAAUACAAUUGAAUAAUACCAAAAUAUCUUCAAAAUUCAUGAAAUCCUCUUUCUUUUUCAAUUUUGUUCUUUCUUUUUUUUUGCUCGAUUUUUUUCG
rnacentral:lncRNA from 1 species